rnacentral:rRNA from 1 species
GAUGGAGGGGGAUAACUACUGGAAACGGUAGCUAAUACCGCAUAACGUCGCAAGACCAAAGAGGGGGACCUUUCGGGCCUCUUGCCAUCGGAUGUGCCCAGAUGGGAUUAGCUAGUAGGUGGGGUAACGGCUCACCAAGGCGACGAUCCCUAGCUGGUCUGAGAGGAUGACCCAGCCACACUGGAACUGAGACACGGUCCAGACUCUACGGGAGGCAGCAGUGGGGAAUAUUGCACAAUGGGCGCAAGCCUGAUGCAGCCAUGCCGCGUGUAUGAAGAAGGCCUUCGGGUUGUAAAGUACUUUCAGCGGGGAGGAAGGGAGUAAAGUUAAUACCUUUGCUCAUUGACGUUACCCGCAGAAGAAGCACCGGCUAACUCCGUGCCAGCAGCCGCGGUAAUACGGAGGGUGCAAGCGUUAAUCGGAAUUACUGGGCGUAAAGCGCACGCAGGCGGUUUGUUAAGUCAGAUGUGAAAUCCCCGGGCUCAACCUGGGAACUGCAUCUGAUACUGGCAAGCUUGAGUCUCGUAGAGGGGGGUAGAAUUCCAGGUGUAGCGGUGAAAUGCGUAGAGAUCUGGAGGAAUACCGGUGGCGAAGGCGGCCCCCUGGACGAAGACUGACGCUCAGGUGCGAAAGCGUGGGGAGCAAACAGGAUUAGAUACCCUGGUAGUCCACGCCGUAAACGAUGUCGACUUGGAGGUUGUGCCCUUGAGGCGUGGCUUCCGGAGCUAACGCGUUAAGUCGACCGCCUGGGGAGUACGGCCGCAAGGUUAAAACUCAAAUGAAUUGACGGGGGCCCGCACAAGCGGUGGAGCAUGUGGUUUAAUUCGAUGCAACGCGAAGAACCUUACCUGGUCUUGACAUCCACAGAACUUUUCAGAGAUGGAAUGGUGCCUUCGGGAACUGUGAGACAGGUGCUGCAUGGCUGUCGUCAGCUCGUGUUGUGAAAUGUUGGGUUAAGUCCCGCAACGAGCGCAACCCUUAUCCUUUGUUGCCAGCGGUCCGGCCGGGAACUCAAAGGAGACUGCCAGUGAUAAACUGGAGGAAAGUGGGGAUGACGUCAAGUCAUCAUGGGCCCUUUACGACCAGGGCUACACACGUGCUACAAUGGCGCAUACAAAGAGAAACGACCUCGCGAGAGCAAGCGGACCUCAUAAAGUGCGUCGUAGUCCG